UGGGGAAUUUUGGACAAUGGGGGCAACCCUGAUCCAGCAAUGCCGCGUGUGUGAAGAAGGCCUUCGGGUUGUAAAGCACUUUUGUCCGGAAAGAAAACGCCGUGGUUAAUACCCGUGGCGGAUGACGGUACCGGAAGAAUAAGCACCGGCUAACUACGUGCCAGCAGCCGUGGUAAUACGUAGGGUGCAAGCGUUAAUCGGAAUUACUGGGCGUAAAGCGUGCGCAGGCGGUCCGCUAAGACAGAUGUGAAAUCCCCGGGCUUAACCUGGGAACUGCAUUUGUGACUGGCGGGCUAGAGUAUGGCAGAGGGGGGUAGAAUUCCACGUGUAGCAGUGAAAUGCGUAGAGAUGUGGAGGAAUACCGAUGGCGAAGGCAGCCCCCUGGGCCAAUACUGACGCUCAUGCACGAAAGCGUGGGGGAGCAAACAGGAUUAGAUACCCUGGUAGUCCACGCCCUAAACGAUGUCAACUAGUUGUCGGGUCUUCAUUGACUUGGUAACGUAGCUAACGCGUGAAGUUGACCGCCUGGGGAGUACGGUCGCAAGAUUAAAAACUCAAAAGGAAUUGACGGGGGUCAUAGCUGUUUCCUG
rnacentral:rRNA from 1 species